rnacentral:misc_RNA from 1 species
GAUGAAGAACGUAGCGAAAUGCGAUAAGUAGUGUGAAUUGCAGAAUUCAGUGAAUCAUCGAAUCUUUGAACGCACAUUGCGCCCCUUGGUAUUCCAUGGGGCAUGCCUGUUCGAGCGUCAUUUGUACCUUCAAGCUCUGCUUGGUGUUGGGUGUUUGUCUCGCCUCUGCGUGUAGACUCGCCUCAAAACAAUUGGCAGCCGGCGUAUUGAUUUCGGAGCGCAGUACAUCUCGCGCUUUGCACUCAUAACGACGACGUCCAAAAGUACAUUUUUACACUCUUGACCUCGGAUCAGGUAGGGAUACCCGCUGAACUUAUGCAUAUCAAUAAGCGGAGGA